AUGCAAUUACUUAGAGUGCCGAUAAGUACGAAUUUCGACACAUAUGGCCUCUAUCCAAACUCCAAUCCUCCACCAGUCCAUUGUACUGCUACCAUUUUCAUCGUUUCUACAACCUUACCAGUCACCAAUGAUCAUCACCGUUUGGCAAACCUAUGUUGGUACCUUCAACUGCUUCUCCUAUGAAUUGAUCAAUACACGGCCAAUGCAUAUACAUACACCAUGCCAUUACCACCACUUGCCAUUUCUUACUUUGUAUGGUAACCCUAUCAUCAUCAUCAUCAUCAUCAUUUUCUUACCACUUGCCAGGUGAUACCACUUAAAUGCUCACCAAGCUCUCACAAGGUUGAGCCACCAAAGAGAAAAUAUUUAUCAACUUUGAACAAUGAAAAAAAGUUGAUGUUUUUCCCUUAUCAAAAUAUUAGCAAAGUUGUCAACUUUGCAUUAGUUGACAACUAGCAUAAAUGUUAACCCGAAUCCUAAUAAAUCAAAAUAACAUUUGUAUAAUAUUGACCAUUCAAAAGGCUUUAAAAGAUGGAAUUCAUAUAUAGUCACUUGGAUAAUUUCCAAUAUUUUCUAGAAAGUUUAUGAAUAUCAUGCAACAAUAAUUAAAUACAAGGAUUUCAUAAUAUGUAGAGAGAGUGUAUUCCUGUUGAUAAGUAGUUGCGUGCUGCAGGCAAAGCAAAAGUAGUACUGAUUUUCUUUUGAUAUCUUCUAACAAAAGAAAACCACAUUCCUUUAGAGCUCAAAUUUGAGCUUAUACUUGAAGGUAAAGAGUAUCAAUGCAUCACUCUAAGAUAACUGGCAUGACUAAGCCAUAAUUGAUCCAUUUUAGACAGAACACUUCUAAUGAAGUUCCUUGUUCACGAAAUUCCAAACCGUAGGUCACCAAACACUGUAGCACUCCUCAACUUAUAUUACCCGAACACUUGCAAUGAAGUUCCUUGUUCCUCUUGUUGCUCUAACCCAACAUCUCUCUUGAUCAAAGUCGUAGAGCAUACCAUACAUUUUUCCAAUUAUGACACUUAAUGAAUCGAUCAUGCAAUUGAAGUUUGUGGCUUUUCCAUGCGAACAUUAGCAUUUGAUUUUUUCUACAUUACCAUACCCCCCAAAAAGCUCUCCUAAUUAGCUAAUAAAGCUAUUGAUGUGAUAAAGAAUUCCUAGAGAUUAGACCGCAUCUAUCUCAAUGAACAAAAAAGCAAAUGACCAUGUUGCAUUAUUAAUAUAUAAAGAAAUUUAGUACGUUAACAAAUAAAUAUAUUAAGCAUUUUAGUACGUUAACAAAUAAAUAAAUGACAUUAGAUCUCAAUGAUGGGAAAAAGAAAAGGAGACUAAGUGAAAGUGUACUAUCUUACUUUUUUGUUUAAGCAAAACAAUACUACAUUCCGCCAACAAUAAUUUCAAGCAUUUUAAUACAUGCAUGAUCAUGCGCUAGUUCUCCAUCAUAAAAUCACAAUCCAACUUUAAACUUAGCUCACUUGCAAACCAUUUAAAACGUCUCUAAUCUUAUAAUAAAUCAAAUUUCCCAUAUCCUUUUAAAAUUACUACACAACAUAUUUGUAUUAUAAUUACCAAUUAUCGAAAAUCGAAUUAUAAUUACCAAUUAUGGACACAUUCGAGUAAAAAAAAAAUCAAGAAAUACACAAAUAUCAAGCUAUGGUACUAAUGCCAUUAUCAACAACAAUAACAAUAAUAAUAAAUAAAAGAAUCAAACAUAUAAUCUAAAUAAAUAAAAAUUUAAUAAACGAAAAAAUAAAUAAAAAAGAAGAAGAAGAUCUUAAGAAGAGCUAGGACCUGGUGCUGGAGAAUUCAUAGAGCUUGCCAGUGCUUGAGAAGAUCAUGACUCCAACCUCGGCGUCGCAAAGAAUCGCCAGCUCCUUCGCCUUCUUCAACAACCCGUUCCUCCGCUUCGAAAACGUCACUUGCCUGCUCGUCGAAUUGUCGAUCCUCCUUAUCACAAUCUUCCCCCUCCCCAUCCCUCUCUCUCUCUCUCUUUCUCUAACCCUAGUUUUUCCUCCUUUUUUUUUUUCUUCUCUAUAAAAACAGAAAAAAAAAAACAAAAACGUAAAUAUGUAAGUAAGAAAUUCAAAUUACUAGUCAAGCACUCAGCUAGAGAGGGGGAGAGAGAGAGAUUUAUAUAUUCUUUUUUCUCUAUUCUUAGUUGUGGUUCUAGAUCGGAUGACAAGUAAAAAAAUGAUCCAAAAAAAAAAAAACACCAAAAACAAGCAGAGAAAUUUUCCGAGAAAGUGUGAGAAUCUAAAAUACAAAGAAAGAAAGAAACAAAAAAUUUUCCGAGAAAAGAAUGAGAACAAACAAAGAGAUAAAGAAAAAGAGAGAGAGGGAGAGAGAUAAUAAAGGAAAGAAUAAUAGUAAUAAAAAGAGCUUACUUGGUAAAGGUAUGAACUAUGAACUAGUGGAGACAAACCGAGGUUUCAAAUAACGUUUGAGAGUUUUGGCCGUACUGAGAAUAACAUCAUAGGCAGCAAGCUAUAUAAGGAAAGUGUAUGCGACUAUGCGGGGGAGCGAAACCACUGGUUUUUUAUUUGCAGUGUACAAAACCGCUAGUGGUUUUGUCUCUUGGACACGUGGACCAAUCAUGUGGUUCGGUGAUGGAAUUUAUUAAUUCAAUUGUGUCCAAUUACAAUUAGCCGUCCAUCUUGUAGAUCACUGACGCGUGGGUCUUUGGAUACGUACACUGUAGUUCCUAUUUUUGGGAACUUCUUGCUUUUGAAAUUUGUGAUCAGACAACAUUGCCCCUUUUGUGUUUUAAGAAUGACUAGUGUGUCCGAGAAGUGGUGAAGUUUAGUGGGGCUAAAGUGACAAGAGUCUGUCAUUUUCAGGUAACGACGACCAAAUCAAAUUCUUGAUUCUUUUGGCUGCUUUUCGUGUCUGAUAUCCUGGCGACCAUGGAUUUGUGGUCCAUACCAUUUUUGGUUUUCCCAUUAAAUUACCAUCGUGAACAAAAAAUGCCAAAGAUGGGUUUGUUUUUAGAUAGAAAUAAUGGCAAUGCCUAAUCCAACUUGGGUUAGUUUAUACUUUUAAGUAUUUACCUCGUGGACUGGACUGGUCAAUAUAACCAAUUUACGGAUUAAUUCCUUACCCAUUUUUGGGUGUAGGAUAUAAUAUAGUACUGAUCAUGGUACGGAGGUUUUAGCUUUUAAGUUUCAUUUAACGGGAAGGUUUCAAUUAGGUUUAUUAGUAAAGUUUUUUAUAGGUGAAUAAAAUAUAUGAAAUUCGCCAUCAAAAAAGAUAUAUGAAAUUCAAUAUUUGUCUGCACUAAAAACUGAUCGGUAUUUUGUUUCAUAAUAAAGAACUAUCAUCAAGUUUGGAUGUUAUAGGUUGAAAUACUCUAUUAAAAAAAAAAAAUCAUUUAACACUCUAAGGUUUUUGGGAUGCCUUAUGAAUAAUGAAUAAAAAAGUCUGACCAAAAGGUAGAACACCAUUUUUUUAUAUAUAUAAAGUGUAAAGAUAAUAUUUUUCAUAAUUGUUGAGGUGAUAGGUUGUAAUUGAUUAAUUUACAUUAGAAGUGAUGGUGAUAGUUUUAAUGAAAAGAAUGUUUCACUAAUUGAUUGGUGUUUUGGUCCAUAGGAUUUUUGGUAUGCCUUAUGAAUAAUGAAUAGAAAAGUCUAACCAAAAGGUAGAACGCCAUUUUCUUAUAUAUUUAUAUAUAUAAAGUCUAAAGAUAAUAUUUUUCAUAAUUGUUAAGAUGACAGGCUGUGACUGAUUAAUUUACAUUAGAAGUGAUCGUGAUAGUUUUAAUGAAAAUAAUGUUUCAAUAAUUGCAAUCUAUCACCUCAACAAGUUGUAAAUUUUGUUGUAGUUUAUAAAUAAAAUAAAUAAAUAAAAAGAAGUGGAGUGAGUACCUCAUUACUCCUAGAGUCUUCUUUAAUUUUCCUCAUUUGGAAAAAAAUAUAUUUUUAUUGAUUUAUUGGCCUUACUAAAUAUGCCCAACAAAAAUAAAAUUGUACAUUUUAAAAAAGUAUAUAUUUUUAAAGUUGUAUAUAGGUCGAAUAAGUUGAAUAAAGUAUAUAUAUAUAUAUAAUAUAUAUAUUUUGCAUUUUUUUUUUCAUUUUUUGUGCAGAAGAAGGGCAGGAUGAAUAUGAGAAGGAUGGAUUUAUAGUGGAUGAUGUUGAUGAAGAAGAGAGGGCAGACAGUGAUGAAGAGAGGCAGAGGAAGAAGAAAAGGAAGAAAAAGUAGCUUUUCUUUGCUUUAGCUGUUAUUUAUAUAAAGUGUAUUAAAAAAAAAAAUGGACUGGGUUGUUGCUGAAAAAUAGUAUGAAAAGAGGAGAUAAAUACCUGUGUUUAUUAAUUGAUACCGAUUGAAACAAAUUAUUAUCAUUUUUUUUUACUUAACAAUUAAACUUCAUUGCUAGCUGAUAUAUAUAUUAUUUAUUUAUUUUCCCUUUACCCCCUUCAAAAUUGAAGUUGUGUUAGAUUUCAAAUAUUUUUCUCUACUUUUAGUUAUUAUAUUAAAACCCAGACUCAGGGUAAGUUCUUGUUUCUAAUGACUUAUAUUUCCACUUUGUAGAGAGAAUUAUACACUUGAUGAAGAUGACUAUGAACUCUUGAAGGACAACAAUAUUACCAUUCCCCAUUGGAAGGUUUAGAAUUUUCUUGAUAUCUUUUCAUUUCAUCCUCUGAAAUUGUAAUAAAUUUUUGUAGAGCUAUGUAUGUGUAAAGUAUAAUGAUUCAUAUUUUAGAUGUUUUAUCUUAAAUCUUUAUCAGCAGAGCAAAAAGUUUAAGCGGCUGAAAAAAGCUCAGGAGGAUUCCGAGGAGACCUCUGGAUUAUCUGACAAGGAGGAGAUGUUUGGAAGUGGAAAAGGUGGGCGAACUGCCAAGGAGAAGCUUAAGCAAAGUUUAUUUGGUGAUGAUGAAGGUAUUGUCUUAUAAAAAUUGUUGGCAUAGGUGCCUGUUGACUGUUGACUGACUAUGUGUUGUGAGUAUGUAGGUGCUCCACUUGAGGACAUUGCUGAAGAGGAGGAACAAGCAGAAGAUGAAGAGGAUGGAGACAUUGGUGAGGAGGAUGAAAUGGAUGACUUUAUUGUGGAUGAAGACAAUGAGCAUGGAGCUCCUCCCAAGUAUGUUCUGUGUAUGUUUCUUCAAUACUGAGGUAUUCUAUUGUUUAACCAAGAAACUAAUUUAUCUAUGUGGUUCAUUUGUAGAGGAGGGAGGCGGCCAAAGAAAGAAGGGAAUAGGAUGGCACCAGGAGUUUCCUUAUCUGUUAUGCAGGAAGCUCAUGAAAUAUUUGGUGAUGUUGAUGAACUCUUGCAGCUCCGUAAGCAAGAUUUAGAUUCUAGUGAAUGGAGGGAAAGGAAACUGGAAGAUGAAUUUGAACCAAUUGUUUUAUCUGAGAAGUAUAUGACAGAGGAGGAUGAGCAGAUUCGGGAGCUUGACGUCCCUGAAAGAAUGCAGGUUUGACAGGCUAUUUGAGAUAUAUCUUUAUUCCAUAUAUGUGAGAUAAAGUGUAUUUAAUAAUUUUCUUUGUCAGAUAUAUGAGGAGAUAACUGGUUCUCCUCCAUUGGAUGAUUGUAUAGUUGAAGAGAGUAACUGGAUACAUGGUCAACUCCUAAGUGGCACGGUACCUUUGUUUGGCAAUAGAGGCAUGGGAACUGCUAAGGAAGGGGGGGAUCUUUCUAUUGAGAAAGUUGAUAUCAUGAGAUUUUUGGACCAACUUCACGUGCAAAAAUUAGAUGUUAGUAUACUUUUAUCUAAAUUGGAAGCCACUCUUUGUUUGAUUUGAUCUCUAUCUUAUUAUUUUGGCAUAUUCUUCAUGCCUUCAGAUACCGUUUAUUGCUAUGUAUCGAAAGGGGGAGUGCCUAAGUCUGCUGAAAGAUCCUGAACAGCCUGAAGAUGAUGAUGAAAAUCAGGAUAAGAAUGAGAAGACACCUACUCUAAAGUGGCACAAGGUGAAUUUAUUUUGGCAACAAUGAAGUUUAUGCUUCGUUAAUUGAUGAAAAAUUUACUUAAAUUAAAAAAAAAUAAAAAAUUAUGCUUGCUAAGAGCAAGACUAUAUAAGUGAAUAGCUGAUAUUUGCAUAUACGAAGGUACUUUGGGCGAUUCAAGACUUGGACAGAAAGUGGCUGCUGCUUCAGAAGCGAAAGAGUGCUCUUCAGUCAUACUACAAUAAGCGAUUCGAGGAAGAAUCUCAACUUGUAUAUGAUGUAACAAGACUCAAUUUAAAUCAGCAACUCUUUGAAUCAAUUAUGAAGUCCCUCAAGGCAGCAGGAUCAGAAAGGGAAGUUGAUGAUGUUGACUCCAAGUUUAACUCGCAUUUCCCUCCGGGUAAAGUGGGAUUGGAUGAAGGACAAUACAAGAGGCCCAAGAGGAAAUCACUAUAUAGUACUUGCAGUAAAGCUGGUCUAUGGGUAGUUGUGAGCAAGUUUGGUUACAGCUCUGAGCAACUUGGAUUGCAGCUAUCAUUAGAUACGAUGGUAAGUUACUUUUCAAUUGCAAUUUUUAUUCUGUUGAACAAAGGCUUAAUGUUCCCAUUUCAUUGGUUUGUAGAGAAAUGAUGAGUUGGAGGAUCCUAAGGAAACACCAGAGGAGAUGGCUUCUAGCUUUACAUGUUCAAUGUUUGAGACACCUCAAGCUGUGCUUAAAGGAGCUAGGCACAUGGUAUGCUAGUCUUUGUAGUACAUAGGCAUCAGUGCAAAAGUUUUUCAGUUCAAUGCUAUAUCAAAGGGUAUUGUUCUAAGUUUGACUGCCAAUUGUCUGUGACUUAUUUCAGGCAGCUGUGGAGAUUAGUUGUGAGCCAUGUGUUAGGAAACAUGUCCGUAGCAACUUUAUGGAUCAUGCAGUGGUAUCAACAUGUCCAACACCUGGUGGGAACGUGGUCAUAGAUUCUUCCCAUCAGUUUUCAGGGGUGAAGUGGUUGCGUGAGAAGCCACUAAGUGCAUUUGAUGAUGCUCAAUGGCUCCUCAUUCAGAAGGCUGAAGAGGAGAAGCUUCUUCAAGUUACUAUUAAGAUGCCAGAAAGAGAUUUGGAGAAGUUGAUAAAUGAAUUCAUCGAGUAUUAUCUUAGUGACAGUGUCAGUAAAUCUGCUCAACUAUGGAAUGAGCAGAGGAAAUUGAUAUUGCAGGAUGCACUUUUUGGUUUUCUUACACCCUCCAUGAUGAAAGAAGCAAGAUCUUUGUUGACUAGUAGAGCAAAAAACUUCUUACUUAUGGAGUAUGGGAAGGUUUUGUGGAAUAAAGUUUCAGUGGGCCCAUAUCAAAGGAUGGGCACUGAUAUUAACUCAGAUGAAGAUGCUGCACCAAGGGUCAUGGCUUGCUGUUGGGGGCCUGGAAAGCCAGCAACCACUUUUGUGAUGUUAGAUUCAUCAGGGGAGGUGCUGGAUGUGCUUUACACUGGGUCCCUCACAUUGCGGUCCCAAAAUGUGGAUGACCAGCAUCGUAAGAAAAAUGAUCAGGAACGUGUAUUGAAGUUCAUGACAGAUCACCAACCACAUGUUAUUGUUUUAGGAGCUGUGAAUAUAUCUUGUACCCGACUGAAGGAGGAUAUAUAUGAGGUGAACAUUAUUUAUCUUUUCAUGAUAGUCAUUAAACUUUCACUGCUUCAGAUGGGAUUAUUCUUCUGUUGAUCCUAAACUUUAGCACCAUGUUUAUGAAUCUAUUGGUUUUCUGGUACUCUCUAUUAUAUUGUCGUUAUCAUUUUGAUUAUAGUAUGCCAGGAAGUGAGAUGCGAUGUGCAUUUGUCAUUGUGCCUUCGUCAUUAUGUCUUCACUUCUAGAACUGGUGCUAUCUGAAUUUAUUUUUUAAAAAAUAAUUGCAUUGGUGUUUCACCUAAAACAGCACCUCCUCCCCCAUAAGAAAGGGUGGGGAAAAAUAAGGUCGCGGGUUCAAAAACAGUGCUUGUGUAAGCUUACCUAUUAAAAAGGGUAGGUUUUAACAAUACUGUUCUUAAUCUUUUUUCCUUCUAAAACUUUUGAAACCUAAAGUUUUAAAGUAGAAGUGGUGUAUUUUUUCUCAUUACUAAAUAUAAUUUAAAAAUCUAAUAUGUUUUACAACUUACGAUGUGAAUUGUAUGGGUCUCCACUAAUGUUUCAUUUUGUUCUACUAGUACUCUAUUUGGUAUCUGUUUUUUUCCAUGUUUGGAAUCAGUGAUCAAUUACUGCAUGAUACUUUAGGAAUCUCUUUCUGUGUGGAGCAGUGAUGUAGUUCAUGUUCUUAAUUUCUCAUUUGUUAGAUGUGGUCUUAUUUUUGUUUACUGCAUGUUUAUCAGAUUAUUUUCAAGAUGGUGGAGGAAAAUCCCAGAGAUGUCGGGCAUGAGAUGGAUGGGUUAAGCAUUGUUUAUGGGGAUGAGUCUCUACCUCGCCUUUAUGAGAACUCUCGGAUUUCAUCUGACCAGCUACCUGGGCAAUCAGGUACAUAUUUCAUUACCUUUCUUAUUUUUAAUGUUUUCUAGGCUUCUUUAAUUGAUUUUGUUCUCUUGUUUUGUUAGACAUUGUUAAACGGGCUGUCGCUCUCGGGCGAUAUUUGCAAAAUCCUUUGGCAAUGAUUGCGACGCUAUGUGGACCGGGAAGGGAAAUCUUAUCAUGGAAACUUAGUUCGCUAGAGAACUUUUUAAACCCAGAUGAGAAAUAUGGAAUGAUUGAACAGGUUUUGGUCGACGUAACAAACCAAGUGGGUGUUGACAUUAAUUUGGCUAUCAGUCAUGAAUGGUUGUUUGCUCCUCUACAGUUCAUUUCUGGGCUUGGACCUAGGAAGGCAGCGUCUCUGCAGAGGUCCUUGGUAAGAGCUGGGCCAAUAUUUACUCGAAAGGACUUUGUCACGGUGCAUGGACUUGGUAAAAAGGUGUUUGUCAAUUCGGUUGGUUUCUUGCGUGUCCGGCGGAGUGGAUUGGCUGCUAGCAGCGGCCAGUUCAUUGAUUUGCUAGAUGAUACAAGAAUACAUCCAGAAUCUUAUGGUCUUGCACAAGAGUUGGCCAAAGACGUUUAUGAUGAGGACAAUGCUGACACAAAUGAUGAUGAUGAUGAUGCACUGGAGAUGGCAAUAGAGCAUGUUAGAAAUCGACCUAGGAUUUUGAAAGGCCUUGAUGUUGAUUUAUAUGCUAGUGGCAAGAACUGUGAGAAUAAGAUAGAAACUUUUUAUGACAUAAAAAGGGAACUGAUGCAGGGUUUUCAGGAUUGGCGUAAACAGUAUAAAGAGCCUAGUCAAGAUGAUGAAUUCUAUAUGAUUUCAGGUGAAACUGAGGAGACCCUUGCUGAGGGAAGAAUUGUGCAAGCCACUGUCCGUAGAGUGCAAGGUCAGAAAGCAAUUUGUGUGCUUGAAUCUGGUUUGACUGGGAUACUCAUGAAGGAAGACUAUUCAGAUGACUGGAGGGAGGCUGAGUUGUCAGACAGGCUACAUGAAGGUGACAUUCUCACUUGCAAGAUUAAAUCAAUUCAAAAGAACAAGUAUCAGGUCUUCCUAGUUUGUAGAGAGAGUGAGAUGCGAAGUAACCAACAUCAGUAUGUUAGACACCUUGAUCCAUACUACCAUGAAGAACAAAGCAGGCUGAGUAAGCAAGACAAAGCUCGCAAAGAAAAGGAGCUCGCAAAGAAGCAUUUUAAGCCAAGGAUGAUUGUUCACCCCCACUUCCAGAAUAUUACCUUAGAUGAAGCGAAGGAUGUAUGUUGUCAACUAAAACAUUUUUGAUAUCUUGUGCACUAAUAACUUGUUUGUUAGGUUUAAUGGAAUUUUGAACCUUGUCAGUCACAAGGAUCAUUUAUGCUUUUCAAAGAAAUCUUGUUGAAGUCUUCCUUCUUUAUAAGUUUUAGUAUAUCUACUUUUUUCUAAUAUGUAAGUUACGCAUGCAUGCACAAGGAUCAUUUUUCUUCCCUUUUGGAUGUGAAUAAAUCGAAUUUUUUUAAAUUGUAUCUUAUUUGUUGAUACUUUGUGCUUGGGUUUUACUUGAAUUAUAGGAUUUAAGUCAUAGUAUACCAUUUCUGGAAUGGACCAAGAUAGGGUUUUCUUUGUUUUUCAGUAAUUGUCAUUAUGUUUUGUAUACUAGGUGCUUUCAUAUGUUGGCAAGAAUUUAAUACAUUUUUAUGAUGUUUGGAUCUUACAGUUCUUGUCUGACAAGGAUCCUGGCCAGAGUAUCAUCAGCCCCAGUUCUCAUGGACCUUCCCAUCUAAUUCUAACUCUCAAAGUUUAUGAUGGAGUUUAUGCUCAUAAGGACAUAGUUGAAGGUGGAAAGGAGCACAAAGACAUCACAAGCUUACUUCGUAUUGGGAAGUCAUUGAAAAUUGGGGAGGACACUUUUGAGGAUUUGGAUGAGGUUAGUAUUUUUCUUCAGAGGGUUAUUUUCUGAUUAGUUGUUGUUCAUUGAAGUUGCAUAUUGAUGAUAGUGGUAAACUGCUCUAAGUUCUGAAUCAAACUUGACAUUAUUCAAUAUGUAAUUGGUUCAACAUGGAUAUUGAUUAAUGGGGGGCAUUCUGAAAAUUGAACUUGAGAGCUUUCAUACCCAAAGUUAGCUGGAUUUACCUACCAAAUCACACCUUACAUGUGGAAUGCCUUCUAUCUUGAAUGAGUAGAACUAAUGACAAUUAUAUCAUAGAAUUAUUAUUAUUGAGGGAAAGAUGGAAUCCCUUUUUAAGUUUGCAAAGGCUAUGAGCUGUCAUUACUGAAUUAGUAGAUAUUAUGCAUAUUCCAGUAAGAAAUACAUCCUUUGUGGAGUGUUGCUUAGCUUCACAUCACAGCAGAACAAGGAUUUAGUGUACAAAUUUGUAGUCAAAUUGUCAUUUGAAUAAGUAUCUAUGAUUUUGGAGAAAAAACAAUAUUAUAUUAUUGUUGUUGUUACACAUUGGGGGUAAUGGCAUGGGCUUUUGUGCCUCUUGAUGUCACUUUUUGGAUUUGAUAUUGGCAUAAACAAAGUUAAAAUCGAUUUAGUUGUUUAUGUCAUGUGUAAACUUCUUGUUUUUUUAUCUUCCAAUAGUUCAUUAUUACUUAUCCAAAAAUUUUUAAAAAAAUUUGUAGGUGAUGGAUCGAUAUGUUGAUCCCUUGGUGUCUCACUUAAAAGGGAUGCUAAGUUAUCGGAAGUUCAGGAAGGGCACAAAAGCAGAAGUUGAUGAACUCCUAAGGAUUGAGAAAUCAGAGAAUCCUAUGAGGAUAGUUUACUGUUUGAGUAUCUCACAUGAGCAUCCAGGCACAUUUAUCCUAACUUAUAUAAAGAGUACAAAUGCACACCAUCAAUGUAUUGGUCUAUAUCCUAAGGGAUUUAAGUUCCGGAAUAGGAUGUUUGAGGACAUUGAUCAGCUUGUAGCAUACUUUAAAAGACAUAUUGAUGAUCCUCAGUCAACACAAUUUCUCAGAUCAAUCCCUGCUAGGGUGCCAAUGUGA
rnacentral:sRNA from 1 species